ACGUAGGGGGCAAGCGUUACUCGGAAUUACUGGGCGUAAAGGGUGUGUAGGUUGCUCGUUAAGUCAAGGAUGAAAUCCCGAGGCUCAACUUCGGAAUGGUCCUUGAUACUGGCGGGCUUGAGGCUAGUUGAGGAGAGCGGAAUUCCCGGUGGAGCGGUGAAAUGCGUAGAUAUCGGGAGGAACACCUGAGGCGAAGGCGGUUCUCUAAACUAGUCCUGACACUGAAACACGAAAGCCAGGGGAGCAAACGG
rnacentral:rRNA from 1 species